AGAGUUUGAUCCUGGCUCAGGACGAACGCUGGCGGCGCGCCUAACACAUGCAAGUCGAACGGAGCUGAGAGGAGCUUGCUUUUCUUAGCUUAGUGGCGAACGGGUGAGUAACGCGUGAGUAACCUGCCCUGGAGUGGGGGACAACAGUUGGAAACGACUGCUAAUACCGCAUAAGCCCACGGUGCCGCAUGGCACUGCGGGAAAAGGAUUUAUUCGCUCUAGGAUGGACUCGCGUCCAAUUAGCUAGUUGGUGAGGUAACGGCCCACCAAGGCGACGAUUGGUAGCCGGACUGAGAGGUUGAACGGCCACAUUGGGACUGAGACACGGCCCAGACUCCUACGGGAGGCAGCAGUGGGGGAUAUUGCACAAUGGGGGAAACCCUGAUGCAGCGACGCCGCGUGGAGGAAGAAGGUUUUCGGAUUGUAAACUCCUGUCGUUAGGGACGAUAAUGACGGUACCUAACAAGAAAGCACCGGCUAACUACGUGCCAGCAGCCGCGGUAAAACGUAGGGUGCAAGCGUUGUCCGGAAUUACUGGGUGUAAAGGGAGCGCAGGCGGACCGGCAAGUUGGAAGUGAAAUCCAUGGGCUCAACCCGUGAAUUGCUUUCAAAACUGCUGGCCUUGAGUAGUGCAGAGGUAGGUGGAAUUCCCGGUGUAGCGGUGGAAUGCGUAGAUAUCGGGAGGAACACCAGUGGCGAAGGCGACCUACUGGGCACCAACUGACGCUGAGGCUCGAAAGCAUGGGUAGCAAACAGGAUUAGAUACCCUGGUAGUCCAUGCCGUAAACGAUGAUUACUAGGUGUUGGAGGAUUGACCCCUUCAGUGCCGCAGUUAACACAAUAAGUAAUCCACCUGGGGAGUACGACCGCAAGGUUGAAACUCAAAGGAAUUGACGGGGGCCCGCACAAGCAGUGGAAGUAUGUGGUUUAAUUCGAAGCAACGCGAAGAACCUUACCAGGUCUUGACAUCCGAUGCAUAGUGCAGAGAUGCAUGAAGUCCUUCGGGACAUCGAGACAGGUGGUGCAUGGUUGUCGUCAGCUCGUGUCGUGAGAUGUUGGGUUAAGUCCCGCAACGAGCGCAACCCUUAUUGCCAGUUACUACGCAAGAGGACUCUGGCGAGACUGCCGUUGACAAAACGGAGGAAGGUGGGGAUGACGUCAAAUCAUCAUGCCCUUUAUGACCUGGGCUACACACGUACUACAAUGGCGUUUAACAAAGAGAAGCAAGACCGCGAGGUGGAGCAAAACUCAGAAACAACGUCUCAGUUCAGAUUGCAGGCUGCAACUCGCCUGCAUGAAGUCGGAAUUGCUAGUAAUCGCGGAUCAGCAUGCCGCGGUGAAUACGUUCCCGGGCCUUGCACACACCGCCCGUC
rnacentral:rRNA from 1 species